rnacentral:tRNA from 1 species
AUUUAUAUAGUUUAUAAUCAAAACAUUACACUUUCACUGUAAAAAAAAAUCUUAUUUUAUAAAUA